rnacentral:rRNA from 1 species
GUGUCAGCCGCCGCGGUAAGACGUAGGGGGCGAGAGUUACCCGGAAUUACUGGGCGUAAAGGGGGCGUAGGCGGUGAUACAAGUCAUCUGUGAAAACCUAUUGCUCAACGAUAGGCUAGCGGAUGAAACUGUAUUACUUGAGUGCACCAGGGGUAGACGGAAUUACCCGAGUAGGGGUGAAAUCCGCAGAUACGGGUAGGAAGGCCGGUGGAGAAGUCGGUCUACUGGGGUGCACCAGACGCUGAGGCCCGAAAGCUAGGGGAGUAAACCGGAUUAGAUACCCGGGUAGUCCUAGCCGUAAACGAUGCUCACUAGGUGUAGGGAGUGAUAAACUCUCUGUGCUGAAGCGAACGCGCUAGGUGAGCCGCCUGGGGAGUACGUCCGCAAGGAUGAAACUUAAAGAAAUUGGAGG